UACGGAGGGUGCAAGCGUUAUCCGGAUUCACUGGGUUUAAAGGGUGCGUAGGUGGGCAGGUAAGUCAGUGGUGAAAUCUCCGGGCUUAACCCGGAAACUGCCAUUGAUACUAUCAGUCUUGAAUACCGUGGAGGUAAGCGGAAUAUGUCAUGUAGCGGUGAAAUGCUUAGAUAUGACAUAGAACACCGAUAGCGAAGGCAGCUUACUACAGGAUGAUUGACGCUGAGGCACGAAAGCGUGGGGAGCAAACAGG
rnacentral:rRNA from 1 species